UCCGGCAUGGUCUAGUGGCUAGGAUACCUGGCUCUCACCCAGGAUGGCCCGGGUUCGAUUCCCGGUGUGCGAA
rnacentral:tRNA from 1 species